GGAUGAACGCUGGCGGCGUGCCUAAUACAUGCAAGUCGAACGCUUUGUGGUUCAACUGAUUUGAAGAGCUUGCUCAGAUAUGACGAUGGACAUUGCAAAGAGUGGCGAACGGGUGAGUAACACGUGGGAAACCUACCUCUUAGCAGGGGAUAACAUUUGGAAACAGAUGCUAAUACCGUAUAACAAUGACAACCGCAUGGUUGUUAUUUAAAAGAUGGUUCUGCUAUCACUAAGAGAUGGUCCCGCGGUGCAUUAGCUAGUUGGUAAGGUAAUGGCUUACCAAGGCGAUGAUGCAUAGCCGAGUUGAGAGACUGAUCGGCCACAAUGGGACUGAGACACGGCCCAUACUCCUACGGGAGGCAGCAGUAGGGAAUCUUCCACAAUGGGCGAAAGCCUGAUGGAGCAACGCCGCGUGUGUGAUGAAGGGUUUCGGCUCGUAAAACACUGUUGUAAGAGAAGAAUGACAUUGAGAGUAACUGUUCAAUGUGUGACGGUAUCUUACCAGAAAGGAACGGCUAAAUACGUGCCAGCAGCCGCGGUAAUACGUAUGUUCCAAGCGUUAUCCGGAUUUAUUGGGCGUAAAGCGAGCGCAGACGGUUAUUUAAGUCUGAAGUGAAAGCCCUCAGCUCAACUGAGGAAUUGCUUUGGAAACUGGAUGACUUGAGUGCAGUAGAGGAAAGUGGAACUCCAUGUGUAGCGGUGAAAUGCGUAGAUAUAUGGAAGAACACCAGUGGCGAAGGCGGCUUUCUGGACUGUAACUGACGUUGAGGCUCGAAAGUGUGGGUAGCAAACAGGAUUAGAUACCCUGGUAGUCCACACCGUAAACGAUGAGUGCUAGGUGUUUGAGGGUUUCCGCCCUUAAGUGCCGCAGCUAACGCAUUAAGCACUCCGCCUGGGGAGUACGACCGCAAGGUUGAAACUCAAAGGAAUUGACGGGGACCCGCACAAGCGGUGGAGCAUGUGGUUUAAUUCGAAGCAACGCGAAGAACCUUACCAGGUCUUGACAUCCCUUGACAACUCCAGAGAUGGAGCGUUCCCUUCGGGGACAAGGUGACAGGUGGUGCAUGGUUGUCGUCAGCUCGUGUCGUGAGAUGUUGGGUUAAGUCCCGCAACGAGCGCAACCCUUAUUACUAGUUGCCAGCAUUCAGUUGGGCACUCUAGUGAGACUGCCGGUGACAAACCGGAGGAAGGUGGGGAUGACGUCAAAUCAUCAUGCCCCUUAUGACCUGGGCUACACACGUGCUACAAUGGCGUAUACAACGAGUUGCCAACCCGCGAGGGUGAGCUAAUCUCUUAAAGUACGUCUCAGUUCGGAUUGUAGGCUGCAACUCGCCUACAUGAAGUCGGAAUCGCUAGUAAUCGCGGAUCAGCACGCCGCGGUGAAUACGUUCCCGGGUCUUGUACACACC
rnacentral:rRNA from 1 species